AGGCCUAACACAUGCAAGUCGAGCGGUAGCACAGAGAGCUUGCUCUCGGGUGACGAGCGGCGGACGGGUGAGUAAUGUCUGGGAAACUGCCUGAUGGAGGGGGAUAACUACUGGAAACGGUAGCUAAUACCGCAUAACGUCGCAAGACCAAAGUGGGGGACCUUCGGGCCUCAUGCCAUCAGAUGUGCCCAGAUGGGAUUAGCUAGUAGGUGGGGUAAUGGCUCACCUAGGCGACGAUCCCUAGCUGGUCUGAGAGGAUGACCAGCCACACUGGAACUGAGACACGGUCCAGACUCCUACGGGAGGCAGCAGUGGGGAAUAUUGCACAAUGGGCGCAAGCCUGAUGCAGCCAUGCCGCGUGUAUGAAGAAGGCCUUCGGGUUGUAAAGUACUUUCAGCGAGGAGGAAGGCGUUAAGGUUAAUAACCUUGGCGAUUGACGUUACUCGCAGAAGAAGCACCGGCUAACUCCGUGCCAGCAGCCGCGGUAAUACGGAGGGUGCAAGCGUUAAUCGGAAUUACUGGGCGUAAAGCGCACGCAGGCGGUCUGUCAAGUCGGAUGUGAAAUCCCCGGGCUCAACCUGGGAACUGCAUUCGAAACUGGCAGGCUAGAGUCUUGUAGAGGGGGGUAGAAUUCCAGGUGUAGCGGUGAAAUGCGUAGAGAUCUGGAGGAAUACCGGUGGCGAAGGCGGCCCCCUGGAC
rnacentral:rRNA from 1 species